GUUGGUUAUGGAGACAUGCAUCCGGUCACUAUUGGUGGUAAAAUAGUGGGCUCUCUGUGCGCAAUAGCAGGAGUGCUGACCAUUGCCUUACCCGUGCCAGUGAUUGUGUCCAAC
rfam:Oreochromis niloticus linkage group LG5, whole genome shotgun sequence.